rnacentral:rRNA from 1 species
UACGUAGGGUGCAAGCGUUAAUCGGAAUUACUGGGCGUAAAGCGCACGCAGGUGGCUGAGUCAGUCGAUUGUGAAAGCCCUGGGCUUAACCUGGGAAUUGCAGUCGAUACUACUCAGCUAGAGUAUGGGAGAGGGUAGUGGAAUUCCCGGUGUAGCGGUGAAAUGCGUAGAUAUCUGGAGGAACAUCAGUGGCGAAGGCGACACCCUGGACUCAUACUGACACUGAGGUGCGAAAGCGUGGGGAGCAAACAGG